CAAAUCUUAUUAUCAUGCAAUUGUGACGUUUGGUUUAUGGUAUAUAUAAAAGUUUAUUUGUACUAUAUAAAAGCGAAUUAUCAAAAAGCUAGUAGUGGAGGUGGUAACUAAAUGUUUUUAACUUAGGAUACGAAAAUCAUUUUUUUUUUUUAAUAUAAAACAGUCUUAAAUAUAAGGCCUGACAGAAAAGCAUAUAUAUAAUAUUAUGGGCCUUCAUAUGAGGGAGGUUGAACCGGCCCAAUAAUGUUAUGGGCCUUAUGGGCCUCUUUCGUUUGCUUUGCUCCUGUUCUUCGUUCUUCACUGCGCUUCCCUCUUCAUUGGUUGUCACUGUGACUGUGAUUUCUCCUUCUUCUUCUUCUUCUUAAGAUUGCUCCAAUCUUUUCUUUUCCAUUACUCAUGGCUCCUCGUGUUGCGUGUUGGGUCGGCGAGAAACACUCCAAGUUUCAACAAUGGCUGCAACUAUUACUUCCAGAUCUUCUCUCGUGUGUCUUCGCCUUCACUCAUUGUUAUUCUGCCUCAUCACCGAUUUUUCCUCAUGGGUUUUCAUAAAAGCUUCCAAUUUUUAGGUGAAGUAAUUAACUUUGGUUUAUUCUUUGAAAACCAAACUAGUGGGUCGUUCUAUGUUUGGUUGAUUAAGCAAUAGCUUCUCUGGUUCAUUAUGAUGACAUGAAAUAUCAUCCACCACCAAUUUCUUUCCCAGGUGUAGAGAAGAGAACCUUGUUAUGCAAAAUUCUGAGACAUGGAUUGGUGAAUAGAUGAUGCAUGAGUGAUGAAAGAAUCUGUGACCAUUUAGCAGCAGCAACAGACCUUCAUACAGAUGAGGAUGGUUCUGAAGGUAGUUGAUGAUUAAGGGCUAAAAAGUUAUGUGCAUUCACAUUCCAAUGGAAAGGCGAAGAAAGGAAAGAUAGUAUAUUGUGUUGUUCCUGAUUUUAUGCGAAGUU